rnacentral:pre_miRNA from 1 species
AAUGAGUAACAGAAUGAAUGAGUAACAGAUUGACACAGUAACAGAAUGAAUUUGUUACUCAUUCAUUCUGUUACUGUGUCAAUCUGUUACUCAUUCAUUCUGUUACUCA